GUUUCUGUAGUGUAGUGGUUAUCAUGUUCGCCUUACAUGCGAAAGAUCCUCGGGUCGAAACCGAGCGGAAAAA